UUGAGCCUGGUGUAUCUUGGAUGAUGGUGUUCAGUCCAGCCAUCACGGUCCUCUCCACCUUCCUGUGCCUGACUUUUGUUUAUCUCUGCAGUCAGAAUGCAGAUGAAAAAGAUCAAAUGACUGAGAGAAGACCUGACAUGGGAGAGGAAAGUACAGUGAAUCAGGAUGAAGACGCAUGUUUCACCAGAGUUGUGUUCUUGUGUGUCGAUGGACGGAACAAAUAGAUUGGCUUUGUCUGAGCGGACAUCACACAAGCUCCACUUCAAACUUCUCACAAAGUCUUUAGAGUCCGAGUUUAAAGACCUGUUAUAUUUGUACACAGUGAUGAUGCG